ACCAAAGUCAACAUCUUCCAUUAAUUCAAGAAACCCAAUCCACAAAUAAGCUAAAUUUGAUAAAAUGGCUUCAAUCAUUUUUCUAACAAUCCACAACUACAACAAUACCUUCUACAAUUACACGACAAAAUCUUUGCAUGCAUUAAACCAAGAGAAACUAAGAAGAUUCAUAUGCUUCUAAGUUCUAAACAGGAAAGUCACAACAAACAAAUUUAGUCAGCAAGCUGUUGUUGAUCUUUACUUGAUGACUGCCAAUCUUAUACAACUGGAUGACAAAAUUCUUAUGUUUUGAACCCAAGUCGAAGUAUUGGACAGCUAUGCUUCCUGGUAAGGCAAGUUAAGGUUUAGAAUAAGUUAUUGGUGACGCAGAUCUACCCUUCCGGUCAGGAUCUACCACUAAGAAAAAUACAAAUACCAUGACAUACCAUCAAGAUUAAUUAUCUAAAUUAUAACCAAACCAAAAAAGAUUAAUCAUCUAAAAUACGACCUCAAAAUUCUAGCUUUUACACAUUUAAACUGAUUAUAUAAUUAACACUUUUUUUUUCUUUUGAUUCAGGCAUGCCUAAAAUGAUAGUCCUGCAACUUUAGCUUACUUCAGAGAAGUAGUAGACUGACCGCAUCUAAAUCUGAUCAUCAAAUCCAAAAAUCAUAGCAGGAAACAGGAUCAUAUCAACAAACCAUUUAAGAACCCUUAUCAAGUCUAAAACAACCUAAUACUACUACCCUAAGAACACACGUCUGUUUAAUUUUUAUAAACAUGAUCACAAUAGCUACCGUAUUCAAGCAAAACUUUAAGUUGCAGUGUCUCAUCUAUCAUGAAAAUAAUCCUAAAAAACCGCGUGUAUGAGAUCCAAUCCAAUAACCCAUAAAUUCUUACAUCAAAAACACGACCCAUGUCCCCAAAUCCAAAAAGGCAGACAAACCAUGCAGUCAACAGCUAAGGUGAUCUCAAAAAUUAAACCCACAUAUCUGAUCUACCACACAAUCAACAAACGAGCUGGAGAAGUAGAUAUAGUCAGCUAAAAGGGAACAAAA
rnacentral:misc_RNA from 1 species